rnacentral:rRNA from 1 species
CCCUUAGAUGUUCUGAACCGCACGCGUGUUACACUGAUGCAUUCAACGAGCCUUACCUUGGCCGAGAGGCCUGGGAAAUCUUUUUAGCAUGCAUCGUGAUAGGGAUUGAUUAUUGCAAUUAUUAAUCAUGAACGAGGAAUUCCUAGUAAACGCAUUUCAUCAAAAUGCAUUGAUUACGUCCCUGCCCUUUGUACACACCGCCCGUCGCACCUACCGAUUGAGUGGUCCGGUGAAGUCUCGAGAUUGUGGCAAUCUCCUUUAUUGGAGUUUGACUGCGAGAACUUGCCUAAACCUUAUCACUUAGAGGAAGGUGAAGUCGUAACA